UCAACAACCUGUAUGACCUCAAUGCUGACCUUAUUGGACCUUUUUACUUGAAACAUCUUCUGUUCUCUGAAGAUUUAUUUACUGCUUAGGUGUCACCAGGCUUACAAGAAGUGUGAAAGUCAUCAGACUUACAAUGACCAGUUCUCAAAUUUCCAUAGUAAGACAGAAGACACUCAAUUAAGAAACUGCAUGGAUUUACUAAGACAUACUCUCUUAGUCUUUAUAGGUAUGUCCUUCUGGAUAUGAAUGUUUCCAUCAAUUGUGAUAUAAAUACAUUCUGUGG
rnacentral:lncRNA from 1 species